AUUUCCUUACAGGCUUUUCUAGAAUAAUCAUUAGUAGAGUAUCUGAAUGCUUCACAUAUAUUAAUGAGUUCUCAACACUGAAAUAGUAGCAUUAUCAUCACUUUAAAAUUGAGAAAGCGGAGGCACAGAGGCAAUCGAUACAAAAACAGCUGCUAACUUGGGGUGCUCUUCAUUUAGUUGGAUAUAAUGGAUAUAAUUUACAGGUUAUUCAAGAGUAGGUUCAGAAAUGGAGGUGCUAGCUGUAACUUUAGAGCCGUGUUAAAUUAAGCUGUAAGCUUCCUGUUUAACUUGUGCAUUUCUGUUGUGCUGUUUGCAAUAUUAGGGCUUUCCUAUUGCAAGACUAUUGUGGUGUUCUGUUCUAAGAAAUGCUUGAAGUGCUCAGAAGCAGCAGUGGUGGAAGCAGUAUAAAUAUUCUAGAUAGUGCUGGGUAUUUCUGAUUUUUAGAUUCCAGAGGCUCAAAUUUGGAAUUUGGAGAAUGAGAAGCACUUCCUUAGAGGGCACCAAUUAGAUGCAAGAGACUUGCUGCUCUGAGUAGAUCCCUGGAAAAAAACAAGGAUAGAAUCUGGGUAUACAUUAGCAUUAGGUAUACAUAUAGCAUUAAUUUCCUGUACCAUCCAUCCCACCAUCACCCUUUCUUCUCCUCCCCAGCGAGCUCUACAUUUUACCCUCUUGGUGUUGUAGGUAGGCAUCCAUCCUUUCCACUGCCUGGGUGCCAGAAGAGGGAGCACUGAGAACAGUGGAGCCCCAGCCUUAAUUCCAGUCCCCACUGCUGCCUCAGAGGAGAGUUACAUAGCAGAGGAUGAAGCAUUCAGGGUUGGAACAGUUCUCAGUUCAACUGCGGUUACAGCAUCUCAGUCCAGACCGCCUGGAACAGUUUGAUCAACUAACUGGAUGUCCUGGAAAAACUCUCAAAUGACUAUUUAGUUCGAUAUUCUCUGCUCAAGGGGUUCUGGUGGUUUCACAGCUAACAAAGGCUUGGUGUACUUUCAGCCUAUAUACCACAGAAUGUUGCACUGCUACUGAAGACCUAAAUUUUGAAGUCUAUGGUCCUCAGGGUUGGAGGGAAGCUGAGCCUAAAGAGAAGCUGCCAUGUUUGCUGGAUAAAUUAAAGAUUGGGAUUUGGAAGGUAUUGGCAUUUUUGGAAACAUUCCAGAAUGUCAUGCUUCCAAACAUUGUAUGAGACCUGCACCAAAUCAUGUAACUUUGCAAGAAAAGAGAGAAGGUUCCCUGCA
rnacentral:lncRNA from 1 species